UACGGGGGGGAGCAAGCGUUGUUCGGAUUUACUGGGCGUAAAGGGCGCGUAGGCGGCCAGUGCAAGUCAGUUGUGAAAUCUCCGAGCUUAACUCGGAAAGGUCAACUGAUACUGCUCGGCUAGAGUGCGGAAGGGGCAACUGGAAUUCUUGGUGUAGCGGUGAAAUGCGUAGAUAUCAAGAGGAACACCUGCGGCGAAGGCGGGUUGCUGGGCCGACACUGACGCUGAGGCGCGAAAGCUAGGGGGAGCGAACGGG
rnacentral:rRNA from 1 species